UACGUAGGCAGCAAGCGUUGUUCGGAGUUACUGGGCGUAAAGGGUGCGUAGGCGGUUGUUUAAGUUUGGUGUGAAAUCUCCCGGCUCAACUGGGAGGGUGCGCCGAAUACUGAAUGACUAGAGUGCGGGAGAGGAGAGUGGAAUUCCUGGUGUAGCGGUGAAAUGCGUAGAGAUCGGGAGGAACACCUGUGGCGAAGGCGGCCGGCUGGGGGUACCCUGACGCUGAGGCGCGACAGCGUGGGGAGCGAACCGG
rnacentral:rRNA from 1 species